UGGGAAUUUUGGACAAUGGGCGCAAGCCUGAUCCAGCCAUGCCGCGUGCGGGAAGAAGGCCUUCGGGUUGUAAACCGCUUUUGUCAGGGAAGAAAUCUUCUGAGUUAAUACCUCGGGAGGAUGACGGUACCUGAAGAAUAAGCACCGGCUAACUACGUGCCAGCAGCCGCGGUAAUACGUAGGGUGCAAGCGUUAAUCGGAAUUACUGGGCGUAAAGCGUGCGCAGGCGGUUUUGUAAGACAGAGGUGAAAUCCCCGGGCUCAACCUGGGAACUGCCUUUGUGACUGCAAGGCUUGAGUGCGGCAGAGGGGGAUGGAAUUCCGCGUGUAGCAGUGAAAUGCGUAGAUAUGCGGAGGAACACCGAUGGCGAAGGCAAUCCCCUGGGCCUGCACUGACGCUCAUGCACGAAAGCGUGGGGAGCAAACAGGAUUAGAUACCCUGGUAGUCCACGCCCUAAACGAUGUCAACUGGUUGUUGGGAAGGUUCCUUCUCAGUAACGUAGCUAACGCGUGAAGUUGACCGCCUGGGGAGUACGGCCGCAAGGUUGAAACUCAAAUGAAUUGACGGGGUCAUAGC
rnacentral:rRNA from 1 species